AGGGUCCUCAUGAACUUUUCUUACGGCAAGUAUCCAAACUGGUGAUCCUUCACUCAUGGUCGUCUUUAAUUCUUUAGCACCUAUUAGACGGAGGCUUUUCUUCUUGAUGUUUUGUUUUGAUCCAUCGCCUAUCUUUCUAUUGGUAGCCUUAGGAGGGGAAGAAUUAAUCAUGAUCUUCUUACCCUGAUGAGUAAAACUAUAUGAGUUGGUUCG
rnacentral:lncRNA from 1 species